rnacentral:rRNA from 1 species
GAUCCUGGCUCAGGAUGAACGCUGGCGGCGUGCUUAACACGAUGCAAGUCGAACGGAGUUAUUGAAAGCUUGCUUUGGAUAAACUAGUGGCGACGGGUGAGUAACGCGUGGGUAACCUGCCUUAUACCGGGGGAUAACGUUUGGAAACGAACGCUAAUACCGCAUAAGCGCACGGGCUCGCAUGAGUCUGUGUGAAAAACUCCGGUGGUAUAAGAUGGACCCGCGUCUGAUUAGAUAGUUCGGUGAGGUAACGGCCCACCAAGUCGACGAUCAGUAGCCGGCCUGAGAGGGUGAACGGCCACAUUGGGACUGAGACACGGCCCAAACUCCUACGGGAGGCAGCAGUGGGGAAUAUUGCACAAUGGGGGAAACCCUGAUGCAGCCGACGCCGCGUGAGUGAAGAAGUAUUUCGGUAUGUAAAGCUCUAUCAGCAGGGAAGAAAUGACGGUACCUGAGUAAGAAGCCCCGGCUAACUACGUGCCAGCAGCUGC